CACUGGAUGCCUUUACAAAGCUGGAUACUCUGGGAGCAGCGUGGGCUGAUGGAGUAGGAAUUAGCCUGAGCGAUCUUUACGAGCUGAGAUCCUGCACAUCGCAGAAGGAAACGUGUGUGUACCUUUCUCUGGAGGAACUGAGGAAUUUUGUAGUUGUUCUUAUAGUAUUUUAAAUCUGAGAACCCAGUAGAAUCUUUUCUGCAGUGAUGAG